rnacentral:rRNA from 1 species
AUUAUGGCUCAGGAUGAACGCUAGCUACAGGCUUAACACAUGCAAGUCGAGGGGCAGCAUUGGGAUAGCUUGCUAUUCAGAUGGCGACCGGCGCACGGGUGAGUAACGCGUAUCCAACCUUCCUGCCAGUAGGGAACAGCCCGGCGAAAGUCGGAUUAAUGCCCUAUGUUCUUCAAUGCGGACAUCUAAGUUGAAGGAAAGAUUCAUCGCUGGCAGAUGGGGAUGCGUCCGAUUAGCUUGCCGGCGGGGUAACGGCCCACCGGGGCGACGAUCGGUAGGGGUUCUGAGAGGAAGGUCCCCCACACUGGUACUGAGACACGGACCAGACUCCUACGGGAGGCAGCAGUGAGGAAUAUUGGUCAAUGGGCGUAAGCCUGAACCAGCCAAGUAGCGUGCAGGAAUGACGGCCCUACGGGUUGUAAACUGCUUUUAUGCGGGGAUAAAGUGCGGCACGUGUGCCGCUUUGCAGGUACCGCAUGAAUAAGGACCGGCUAAUUCCGUGCCAGCAGCCGC